rnacentral:rRNA from 1 species
ACGAAAGGCGUAACGAUUUGGGCACUGUCUCAACGAGAGACUCGGUGAAAUCAUAGUACCUGUGAAGAUGCAGGUUACCCGCGACAGGACGGAAAGACCCCGUGGAGCUUUACUGUAGCCUGAUAUUGAAAUUCGGCACAGCUUGUACAGGAUAGGUAGGAGCCUUUGAAACGUGAGCGCUAGCUUACGUGGAGGCGCUGGUGGGAUACUACCCUAGCUGUGUUGGCUUUCUAACCCGCACCACUUAUCGUGGUGGGAGACAGUGUCAGGCGGGCAGUUUGACUGGGGCGGUCGCCUCCUAAAAGGUAACGGAGGCGCUCAAAGGUUCCCUCAGAAUGGUUGGAAAUCAUUCAUAGAGUGUAAAGGCAUAAGGGAGCUUGACUGCGAGACCUACAAGUCGAGCAGGGUCGAAAGACGGACUUAGUGAUCCGGUGGUUCCGCAUGGAAGGGCCAUCGCUCAACGGAUAAAAG